AUUGAACGCUGGCGGCAGGCUUAACACAUGCAAGUCGAGCGGGGUGAUGGUGCUUGCACUAUCACUUAGCGGCGGACGGGUGAGUAAUGCUUAGGAAUCUGCCUAUUAGUGGGGGACAACAUCUCGUAAGGGAUGCUAAUACCGCAUACGUCCUACGGGAGAAAGCAGGGGAUCACUUGUGACCUUGCGCUAAUAGAUGAGCCUAAGUCGGAUUAGCUAGUUGGUGGGGUAAAGGCCUACCAAGGCGACGAUCUGUAGCGGGUCUGAGAGGAUGAUCCGCCACACUGGGACUGAGACACGGCCCAGACUCCGACGGGAGGCAGCAGUGGGGAAUAUUGGACAAUGGGGGGAACCCCUGAUCCAGCCAUGCCGCGUGUGUGAAGAAGGCCUUAUGGCUGUAAAGCACUUUAAGCGAGGAGGAGGCUCUUUUGGUUAAUACCCAAGAUGAGUGGACGUUACUCGCAGAAUAAGCACCGGCUAACUCUGUGCCAGCCGCCGCGGUAA
rnacentral:rRNA from 1 species